UACGUAGGGGGGCAAGCGUUGUCCGGAUUUAUUGGGCGUAAAGAGCGUGUAGGCGGUUUGGUAGGUCCGCUGUGAAAACUCGAGGCUCAACCUCGAGACGUCGGUUGAAACCGUCUGGCUAGAGUCCGGAAGAGGAGAGUGGAAUUCCCGGUGUAGCGGUGAAAUGCGCAGAUAUCGGGAAGAACACCCGUGGCGAAGGCGGCUCUCUGGGACGGUACUGACGCGUGAGACGCG
rnacentral:rRNA from 1 species